AAGGAGGAGCUCAGCCGAAAGUCGCUUCAGCGGUUACAAAGCGCCAAUUCGUUCGGGAGUUACUUUGGAUAAGAGACUCAUCUGGAAUCUUCAUCUGUCAGGCGGCAGCCUGUUUUCUCUCCAUUGCAGUUCGACAUUCCUUAUCGUAUCUUAAUAUAGGCGGAUCCUGUCGAGGCAUUCAUACACCGGAGUAAAUACCAGUACUCGGCGACGAAGUUUUUAUCUCAUGACGAAUCCGACACUAAAUUUGCGCUCCUUUCUAUGGCCGCUGUAAUAAAUUUCACGAGGACCCACGGCGGUGAUGUCUACCUUUAAUUCUAUUAGGACAUCAACCAGUUGAGCAGCGGGCAGUUAUAAAAACAAAUAAACGUAAUCAAAUAAUAUCAGCUGUCUGAAACAUGCUAUGGGGAGUAGUCCAAACUUUCGAAAUUCAAAAUGGCGGCUUUUUUCAUUGAAAGUAUGAUAGUUACAUGCAGUUAAAGAUCAAAACGUGUUCACCAUUUGGGCGAUUAUUAAGGCAAAGAAUAAGCUCAUUCAUGAAAGGGUUGCAAUUUGCUUAUGAAUUACCGCAAAUCACUGCUAUGCUUCACCUUUAUUAAUAUUUUUCAUUGUUGCUGCACCAUGAUUAUUGCUGACUGCUUUAUCAUUAACCUAAGUACAUCCAUAAUUACAUCACCUCGAAAGUGGACACCUUUAGGCACCGCAAAAAGACAGACAGACUAAAUUUAGUUCAACAAUGCUCGCUGGUGCCGAACUCAUACUCGAAAGUGCUGAAAAGAAUUUAUUUGCGAUUGCUUGGGGGAAGUGAUGAAGGGUUGAAUGGAAUGAAUUUGACGUACCUUUUCGUGGCAUUGCGCGUCGCCAUUUGACAAUUUCGCUGAGAAUGCAAAUUUAUGAACCGACGCCAUAAAGGAAAUUGUCGGCCAUUGAAAUAAAUAACUGUUAUUGUUAUGGCAAAUUGUAAAAAACAACGAAUUGUAACAAACAUAUACAUAACUUGUUCGGGUGCCAAAUUGUUAAAACAGACGUACAUAUGUAUGUUUGCAUGUAUGUACGUUCAUAAAUUGUGUUACAGAAAGGUAAUAAGCUUGAAAUAUUCUUUACUUUUACCUUCUACUUUCGAAACUUAAACAGAUACAUACAUAUACACAUACACAUGCAUACGAGUAUAAGUAUACCCCAAUUAAUUAGUUGAUUGAACGAGGUUGUACAAGUUACUUUGUAAAGUUAUGAUAUAAAUGACUGCUCAAUGAAAGGGUACUCAAAUACAAAUGCCACUCACUCUGUGAGUGAGAAACUCUUUACAAUUUGAGUAUAAGAGUUACUUGCCAAAAUCGUUAAAUUUGAGUUCAUGCAUUUUUUCCAUGCUCUCGCACUCAAAUUAUUUUGCCUGGAAUCGUAGUUGGUA